AUUGAACGCUGGCGGCAUGCCUUACACAUGCAAGUCGAACGGUAACAGGUCUUCGGAUGCUGACGAGUGGCGAACGGGUGAGUAAUACAUCGGAACGUGCCUAGUCGUGGGGGAUAACUACUCGAAAGAGUGGCUAAUACCGCAUGAGAUCUACGGAUGAAAGCAGGGGACCGCAAGACCUUGUGCUACUAGAGCGGCCGAUGGCAGAUUAGGUAGUUGGUGGGAUAAAAGCUUACCAAGCCGACGAUCUGUAGCUGGUCUGAGAGGACGAACAGCCAAACUGGGACUGAGACACGGCCCAGACUCCUACGGGAGGCAGCAGUGGGGAAUUUUGGACAAUGGGCGCAAGCCUGAUCCAGCAAUGCCGCGUGCAGGAUGAAGGCCUUCGGGUUGUAAACUGCUUUUGUACGGAACGAAAAGCCCUGGGUUAAUACCCUGGGGUCAUGACGGUACCGUAAGAAUAAGCACCGGCUAACUACGUGCCAGCAGCCGCCGUAACAC
rnacentral:rRNA from 1 species